UACGUAGGCAGCAAGCGUUGUUCGGAAUUACUGGGCGUAAAGAGUGUGUAGGCGGUGCUCCAAGUCUGGUGUGAAAUCUCCCGGCUUAACUGGGAGGGUGCAUUAGAAACUGGAAUGCUAGAGGAUGGGAGAGGUAAGCGGAAUUCCUGGUGUAGCGGUGAAAUGCGUAGAUAUCGGGAGGAACACCUGUGGCGAAAGCGGCGCACUGGACCACAACUGACGCUGAGGCGCGAAAGCUAGGGGAGCAAACAGG
rnacentral:rRNA from 1 species